GAAUCCAUUUGCUCUUUAAAACAGGACUAAAACUUACAGUAUGAAGCGUGAUCUACGCGAUAAACUUGGGAAGAGUUUUUAUUGUCAUCAAGUUUGAUUGCCACCGUUAUCUAAACUGUUGCCUCUGAAGGACAGUAAGGGACAAAAACUAAUAACAUUGUCUUUGCAGGAACAUUUUGUAGCAGAUGAUUUUCUUUUCCGUGCUGAUGGGAGGAAGCAAAGGUUGAAAAAAGGUUCAGUGCCUUCAGUGUUUUCGUGCAGUGUGAGACCUCUACCAAAGCAGCGAAGAUCAAGAGACAAAAGGCGUUACGGUUCGAUUCAAAUUGACCGUGCGAGUCAUUGUUCCGCAAUCAUCAAAGAUCAUGGUUACUCCCAAGACCCCACUUCCAACAGCAUUGGAACAAACUUCAAGCUUAUCCCCAAGCUUGAAGAAACAUCACGCCAAGAGGAGAAUGAAUUUGAGGAGACUUUUGAGGACAAUCCUGCAAUAAUCUUUUCACACGAGGUUCCAACCAUGUGCCACAAAUGCCACAUGUUUUCAGACGAGGCCAAAUGGUGGAAUGAAAAUGUCAAGAAGAACGGAAAGACUAUUAAGACCUUGAGACAGAGAUUAAAGAUGAGCAAUCAAUCAGUUCAGCGGAUGCAGUCACGGUUAGAAGUACUAACCACUCAACUUCACAAAGCAAAGGUUGGCUCAUCAUCAAUCAUUUUUGCGUAAGAUCAGAUUGCUUGCAUGGAGAAGAGAAGUGUGUGGCAAAAUCCGAUUACAGACUGCGAUGGACCAACACAACUGUAAAGCAAGGGUUGAAGUUGCGAUUUACUUGCGGAUAGUCGGGUUACGACGCGCUCCUUAAACAAAAGUUCCCUCUGUCUUUAUUGAGGACAUUGCAGAGGAGAGCCAAAGACAUUUCCUUCGACUCUGGGAUUCCAUACGGCGUUUUUAGUAUGUUAGCACUCAAGACUGAAUAUAUGUCAUCCCAAGAUCGGA